GAAAAAUAGUGAUAGAGAUAGUAGUGAAAGAUACAGAUAUAGAAUAUAGAAUAAUGAAUAUAGAAAACGAUGAGAUCAAGACUGUAUUUCAAGAAAAAUCCUAGUGUGUAUUUAGUUACACACCCACUUCGACAAUUUCAAGAAUGCUAGUAUACACUCAGGUUGAACAGCUGACAGAUCAGAUAGAUCAGAAAAGUGAGACGAACCCAGCGCCUGAUGACGGAGCGAUUCCAGGGCCGGACAGUUACACAGAAGAUGAGUAAUUGUUUCUUCCUCUUCUUCAUUUUGACAGCUCCUACAAAAGUCAUUAUAUGGAAUACCAAUACGUCUAGCAUGGUUUCCGAACUUUGAAUGACCGAUUCGCAAUAGACUGGACUAAUCUCCCAAGGAUCAACGUUUCUUGACGACCGGUGGUGAAUGUACAGGUUUUCUGUCCGUCCGUAUUAGUUUGUUCGGGUAUUUCAGUUUCCGGCAACCUAUGAGUUAAAAUCUACCGCGGGAUUGUUCUUAACUAGGCCUGAGCUCAAUCCUAUCCUUACGCGCACGCCUGGUUCAAUUUUAACCAGCGGACUGGCUUCGAGCAACUAACGAAAGAAAUUAUCUAAAAGGACUGGUUCUGUUCGUCCUGUCGUUCGGGUAAGAGGUACACUUCUAUGUCGAAAACCUUAAUACCUGGACACCACAGGACUGUUGGUGCGGAUCUGCUAGAGUAGUCCCACGCUGGAUGGAGCUGGCGAUGGCGUGACUCAGAGUUGCUGCUUUAGUUUUAUGGUUCUCGCUUUAUUUAGCUUUAAGAUUGAUUUAAUUUAGUUUUAAGUUUUA